AUUUGGCUUUAGGAUUAUGGUUUGUGGUUUGUAAUUUUUUCUGUUCUAUCCUGGAAGAUUUUGGGCUUGAAUCUUGGAACUGGGUUGAAAUUUUAAUUUACAGAAAUAAACAAGGAAGAAGAGGAGAAGAGGUCGAGAAGAAAAGGAGAGAGGAAAAGUCAACAUGAAUUUAGUCAACCUGCUCUUAUGGCUGACUAGGUUGGCAUAUGGGAGUUGCCUAUUUUUCAACAAAUUGCUUUUUGCAGUUCCUAGCAAGAUUCUUGGUGAGAAUGAAUGUUGCUGGUGUAUAUUUAGUUCAAAGAGUAUUGUUAUUAAAGGAUCAUAUCUAUUAGUAUUGUUAUUUUGUUAAGAAAUCAAUUUGUUAUAAAAUAUAAUUAGUCUUAGUCUAAUUAGACUAAUUUAUAUUGUAUUUGUUGUUUGUUAAACUAUAUGAUUCUCUUCAUACAACAUAUAUCAUAUUGGAGGCAUUGAAGGACACAUGACAGACAUCGAUUAUUGAUCGUGGUUGGAGGAUCUAGCUAGGCAACUAUAAGUUUCUUUUCAGUAUAACGCUUUUUCCUUUUCUUGUUCAAUUUUAGUGAUUCUGUCUUAAUAUGAGUUAUAUGACACAAAUUUGCUUAAAAUUCUUAUAACGGUUAGUUUUUCCUACUCUUAACUACUUUAACAUAUUUGUUUUAGUGUCUAUGGAGAGGGUUUGAAUUGGUUAGCUAAGUUUUAAUAGGAUGUGGGUUGUCUGUAUGCUUUGUCAACAAGGAAGGAGAUAAUGUAUGAAAAAAAAAAGGAAUAAGAUUAAAUUUUCUUUACCAAGAUUGUCCAAGAGUGAUGAGCUUGGAGAUGUUAGUCUAUGGUAGUAUAAUUUAAGAAGUAGGUUUGAAAUUUGGGCUUGUUAUCUAAAAUGGCAGAGAAUUCUUCAGAGUGAAUGAAGAAUGGUGAACUUUAGCUUUUAAUGAUGUUUUCUUGUUUGAGCUUAUUAUCUAAAAUGGCAGAGAAUUCUUAAGAGUGAAUGGAGAAUGGUGAACUUUAGCUUUUAAGGAUGUUUUCCUGAAGGUCUAGGCUCUAGCAAUCUAUUUGAAAGUUAGUGAAAGAUAGAAUUAGUUUCAUUUAGGUUUUGUUGUUAUUUGUAUUUGUUAGACACUUCAAUGGGAAUAACUCACUUGUCACGUCUUUCUUUGAGCAAGAAGGUAUUGGUCAUCUAGCCUAGACUGAGUUUUGAAUGAACUACUUACACAGAAGACCAUAUAAUCAUACCAAUUUUUAGAAAAUAAAGCAGUAAAGUUGAAAAAUAUGUAAUCAAAUUAUGAUCUAUAGUUCAUAUCUCAUUUUGUAAAUAAAAGCUUUACUUUGAUUAUGAUAACCUUCCUUUUCAAUAUUAUUUGAGAGUAUCAAGCUCCCUUUGUUUGCCAAUUUUGUCAAUGUUUUAAUAAAAGUCUUUCAACAUUUGUAUGCCGAAUUUAAAAGGGUAUUUUAAAUUCUGAAGUAGAUGUGUAUUUUGAUGGAGGUGAAGGAAAUUCUGAAGUACAGGAUAUGACUUUACAAAGCACAGAUAGAACUUCGACUGAUAGUGUAGAGUUCAAUAUUUCUAGAACUCAUAUACGUGAAAUGACUCAUGUUCGUGAGGAAAUUGCUAAUCACAUAUGGAGAGCUAGUCGAAGAUAGUGAGAUUGAAGAUAAUGAGAUUGAGUAAAGACAUUAGUUGAUUGUUAUAGGUCUUUUAAUACUUUAUUUUAAGUUUGGACAAUUGUCAGUUAUAUGUUUUUAUUUUAUUAUGUAGACUUUAUUGAUUUUGUGUUAUCUCAUGGAUAGAUAUUAAGUUUUGAAAUUUGAGAUCA